ACAGUGCGGGUGUGGCCCCAAUGCAAUGGGUCCCCCAGCGGCCCAGAGACAAGGUGGGCGGUGCGUCGCAGAACCGGAAAGGAGCUACAGGCUGACCCCGGCUUUCUGUGUGGCUGGAGGGGGAGGCGGCCCCCUAGUGGCAAAGGUCCGCACAGGGCCGAAGUUCAACGAGUCCCAGAGACUAAAGGUGACCUUCCUGCCCUGGGUUCUGAUGCCGCCUCCCACGACCGGGGGCCGUGCCGGCUGGAGGUGCCCCAAGAUCUCCUGGAGCAGGAUCGCUUCCUCACUGUGGCCCCUCUGCAAACUUCAUGCUCCUUACCUGCACUGACGCGAGAGCAACAGAGGAGUCAAUUGCCCCCAGCUCCUGAUAGCAAGUAAUAUUGAUUAGCCGGCUCCUGCAAAGGGCGAUGUGUUACCUGCAGUCAACAGCGGUUUGGAAACGAGGGGUCCCCCUUCUGACGGAUAAUCAGAAAGUCACAAGUAGCCUAACACUACGUCGAAAUGCCCACGUUGCUCCCUCACUUCAUCUCCUCACACAGGCAUUUUAUCAUCUCACAUCGUUACAAGAAAGGUCUACACCAUCCAAUAUGGCAGCCACGACUCGUGUGUGCUAGUCCCAGUUGAGCAAGUAUAACGAGCACAUCGGCUUCUGAAGACUUAAUACAAAAAAAAGGACAUGCAGUAUCUCAAUAGUAUUUUAUGUUGAUUACGUCUUGAAAUAGUACUGUUUUGGAUAGAUUUGAUUAAAUAAAGCAUACUGUUAAUUAACUUCACCUCUUUUUCCUUUUAAAGACCUGGUAACUAGAAAGUCAUAAUACGUAGCUUGGAUGAUAUUUCGAUUUGACGGUGCUGCUCAGGAUGACACAAUCAGGGAGGAAUGGGGAGGUCUGGCUUUUUCUCUCUUCAUCUGGAUCAACAGGUGUAGGAUGGCCCUACUCAGGGUUGAACAAAACACAUCUAGGCCCCUGCUUUUGGGGGCCGCUCCCUCCCUCCCAGUCUGUGCAAGAGGUGAAUGCCAUUCUCCACAUUUGUUGCGUCUGUCUGGCUCUUGCUAAGCUUUGGAGGAGAAGCAGACGAGCGCAGGGUGAGACGGGGCGUAUCAGAGGUAGGGCCAAGUGAUGGGUCAGAUGUGGGAGAAUGGCAGGCUUUGGUUAGACUGGAGUGUGGAUUCCAUUUUAGCCACUAGUUAGCUGUGCAGCCCUUGGUCUUUCUUAGCCCUGGUUUCCUCCUGAGCAGGAGAGAAUAAGAGAGUUCCCCAGGGGAUUCCUUGCCGCCUAGGGCUGUGGUAGGACAAACAGGACAGAGCGCAGAAUGCACCCACCUGGGCUGCCAGGGGUGGUCAUUUUGCUGUUGCGACUACCGACUACCACCCUCCCGCCUCGGGCCCUGGUCUCUCCCUCCCUCCCCUUCCCUGCUCCCCAGU